rnacentral:piRNA from 1 species
UAGGAAAAAGAAACUGAAGGUCAAAA